AUGGCUUGCCAUCUACGGUCGGCGAGCACGCCCUCCAGCCCUCGCUCCAACAACACACAAGUUGAGCAACAGCUCCAGAGCCUCAGCGCAACCAUCUCUUCGCCCUUGGCAACCAUCGAUACGAUGUGCCAUGGUUUGAGGAGGCUGGCAGACAUCUACAGCUGCAUCGACAAGAUGAUGUGCACACCAAGCAGCCAAGCCAGCCUUUGCCACACCCUGCAAAGGGUGGCAGUGGAGGCAGAGCUCGGACGGUCCCUCAUCGUGCUCGAUCUCUGCAACGCCAUGCAGGAGACCUUCAUGGAAUUGAAGAUGACUAUCCAAGAGCUCUUGUUGUCCCUCAAGAGAGGAGACGACGUGUCUGCUCAAGUCAAGGCAUACGCCAGGCUAGCCAAGAAAGCUCAAAAGCAGUUCAAGAAGAUCAGCAAGAAGACUGCUUCCGAUAAGAAUGACUCCAGGGUGGUCAUGCUAAUGGCAGAAGCAAGAGAGAUCACCAUUUCACUGCUUGAAUCCACGUCCUCAGUCUUGUCCAAGUAA
rnacentral:rRNA from 1 species